CGUUUGUAAACAAAGGAUGUUGUCACUUAAGAGAUGCGAAAUUUGUGUGUGUUUUUUUUUUUUUAAAUGGGAUGUUCUCCCAAAAUUGUUAGAGCAACUCCCAACAAUAAUUAUGAACUCAAAUCAAAUCUUCAGCGACAGAAAUAGAAUUCGAAACGAAGAUUGAGAGUGAAAACGUAGUAGAUGCAUUUUUAAAAAAAAUGUCUGACGCAACGCACACAGCAUGGGAUCACACCAGGCUAAAAGUUGUACCAGAUGUUCUUCUGUUAGCAUGUUCUUCUACUGUAGAUGAUAACUAUGGCGUGGCGUGUCAUUCGAUUAAUUUAUUUUGACUGGGUUGUCUAAUUGGAAUUGUUUCUUCAAAUUCCUGGAAAAGCAAGAUUUGGAUGCAUAGGACGCAGUGGACUAGAUCGUAAAAUAGCUAAGUGCAAUUUUUUAAAUAUUUUUUGUUGUUGUGAGUGUUGUUAUGUAAUUGAUUUGUAUCGAAAAAAAUGAAGUGUUCAAGAAUCAUGUCAGACAGAUGAUCUUGGUUUAGGAUUCUUAAUUUUUAUCCCCUUUCUUACCUAAAGAUAAUUUUUUCAGACGUUUAUAUUAUUUUGCGGGUCAGAAAACCCAGACAAUAAAGUUAAGUUAUGCGAAAAACAAGAAAGUAGUGCGAAAUCUGUAGCUUAACUAGUUUUGCAAUGAAUUCUGCUGAUUACUCUAAUUGAGAUUAGUACGUAAAAUUGUGUGUCGUCAUGGGUGAGUAUUAUCUUUGUUUGUAUUAACAUUUUCUUAUUUGUUAUUUGUUACUUUAGUGGCCACAAAUAUAUCACUUUUCGGUUUUUCGAGGAUAACUGUUUAUGUUCUGAUCAAAGUCUGCUAAAUAUGCGGACCUACCGUUAAGUGACAUACACGUUUUUAGGGUACUAGUAAGGAUUCGUUACAUUUCAUUUUGCUCAUUUUCAUACAAAAGCAAAAUAAUGCAGUUAGUCGCUGCUCUUAAUAUUCAUUUUUUUUGUUUGUUUUGUAUUUUCCUAUCCUACCUGUUUUUGAAAUUAAAGGACAAACAUAAAAAGCGUAUAGUCUCAACAGAAAAUUAAGGCUUGUUGUUGUAACCAUGGACUGUCUUGUCUUGAAACUGUCCACAACAGCCAUUUUGAAACCCUGUCCGCAAAUGAUAUUUACUUUAAAAGAAUCCCCAUUAACUUCUUGAUAGCCAGGUAGUCGCCAGAACUCUCACGCUUCUGCUACUCCAAUCGCUUUGGGUAUAUAAAGCUCCGAAAUUCUAAACCACUAAUCAUAAAAAAUGAAGGAGCUUUAUGUAUCACAAGUUAAGAAGUCAGGUACUUGCAAUGGACUAGACAUAAGUAUCAUAACAUGGAUGAAAUGGAAUUCAAUACACAAUGCGAACUAUAAGAAAAGAUUUAAUACAAAAAGCACCAUUAGCGAAUGUGGCUUAUACAUGUUUUCUUUAUAUAUUAUAACCAGCAUUGAACUAUUUAUCCAUUUUUAGUUUUACGACUUUGCAUUUUCAACUUCUAAGUCUUGUAAUUUGGAACCCAAAACAGAAGGCGAUAGAAUAGUUCAAUCAAGCCUUAGCACAAAUUAGCCUUCGGGGAGAACUCUUAGGUGGAACUAACCGCCUUUGUGUCACACGGUUAGAGGAACAACAAAACAAUCUCACGGAUAGCCCGACUCUAAGGAGAUUCUAACAUAUGACUCCGUCUGCAACUGAUGAUAUUUUACAUCAGCAUUGUGGUCCGUGUGAGAUGGAAGCAGAAUUCCAUUCAUUCCAGCCAUCGCUGGGAUUCUUUAGAAGGCAUGCGCUUUUUCCCCUGGUCUCAGUCGCUUCAGGUUAAAACAAAUAGGACCUUUACAACAAAUAAC